GGAGAAUUUUUCCGCUAGAUUUAGCGGGGAAAAUUUUCCGCUAAAUUUAGCAUGGAAAAUUUUCCGCUAAAUUUAGCGGGGAAAUUUUCCCGCUAGAUUUAGCGGGAAAAAUUUUCCGCUAAACUUAGCGGGGAAAAUUUCCCGCUAUAUUUAGCGGAGAAAUUUUCCUCUAAAUUUAGCGGGGGAAUUUUUCCGCUAGAUUUAGCGGGAAAAUUUUCC
rnacentral:SRP_RNA from 1 species